GGGAUAGAAUUCCAGGAGUAGCGGUGAAAUGCGUAGAUAUCUGGAGGAAUACCAAAGGCGAAGGCAGUCCCCUGGUCCGAUACUGACACUGAGGUACGAAAGCGUGGGGAGCAAACAGGAUUAGAUACCCUGGUAGUCCACGCCCUAAACGAUGUCGAUUAGCCAUUGGAAGGACCCCUUUUCCUUUCAGUGACGUAGCUAACGCGUUAAAUCGACCGCCUGGGAAGUACGACCGCAAGGUUAAAACUCAAAGGAAUUGACGGGGACCUGAACAAGCGGUGAAUGAUGUGGAUUAAUUCGAUGCUACGCGAAGAACCUUACCUACCUUUGACAUGGCCAAAGUUCUACCGAGAGGCGGAAGUACUCGUAAGAGGAUUGGCGCACAGGUGCUGCAUGGUUGUCGUCAGUUCGUGUCGUGAGAUGUUGGGUUCAGUCCCGCAACGAACGCAACCCUUAUCUUUAAUUGCUCCUAUUUUAACAGGCACUUUAAAGAAACUGCCAAUGAUAAAUUGGAGGAAGGUGGGGAUCACGUCAAGUCCGCAUGGCCUUUAUAGGUAGGGCUUCACACGUCAUACAAUGGUUAGAACAAAGAGCUGCAAAUUCGUAAGAAGGAGCCAAUCUCACAAACCUAACCUCAGUUCGAAUUGCGGUCUGCAACUCGAGCGCAUGAAGCCGGAAUCGCUAGUAAUCGUGGAUCAGAAUGCCACGGUGAAUACGUUCUUGGGUCUU
rnacentral:rRNA from 1 species